rnacentral:lncRNA from 1 species
CUUGUAAUAUAAAACGCGUGUCAUAAUUAGGUGGCAUCUUUCCAAAACAUUUUUUUUAGAUUAAGCAUCAUGCUAUCACAAAUAAUCACGUUUUUUAAUGAUAUUUUUUUAAAUUUAUCCCACACAAGCUGGAGUAGAGUUUUUGGAUUCGUUAUGUUUAUAGCCUAAACCAAAAACUGUUUUAAACCGAUCUGAACUGGUUUAGUGAAAGCUUAGGCACCCCAUAAAAAAGUACAAAUACAAAAGAAAAACAGAAAAUUAUUUGUUAACUCUAACAGUAAAUAGCAGAAAAUGAAACUCACAACAAUAAUAGUAAUCAAAACUAUUAUUUAACCAACCUGAUUUAGUUAUUUUGUUAAGCAUUCAAAUAUUACUUUUGCUUUUUUUUAACAAUUAUUUUCUCCUACCUUUGUAACAUCCAUUUAACAAUCCCUCACGAUUGGCCAACAAUUAUGAUGUCAUUGAUGUCACCAUCCAAUUCAACCAAUCAUUUUCUUCUCUCUGAUGGAGACUGGCCAAUCAGCAGUUUCCGUGCAUUCGCGCCCUUGCUACUCGUCAAGUCUCGAGGAAGGGAAAAAGUCUAACCGGGCGGUCAAUUGCAGUUGCUAUCUAAGCCGGAGAAAAAGAAGCGUUUAGUGAAUCGUCAUUCAAAACCGUGUAGUGAUCCAACGGUGUUUCUAUACCGCAAUGGCAAGUGGCAGGCCAGUUUUAGACAGUCUUGAGGAGUUUGACUCGUCAGACUCCGGUAGCAUUUAUGAACCACAGAUAAAUGCCAGAAAGAAGAAACAGAAAACAACAUCUGGGCCACAGGUGAGUUUUUUCUCUGACCACUACAUUAUUCUUAAACAAAACAUUUAUU